AUGGCGUCCGGUCAGGAGAAGGGGAGGUCGGAGCUGGACAGCUUGGCCCGCGAGGGGCAGACCGUCGUCCCCGGCGGCACCGGCGGGAAGAGCUACGAGGCGCAGGAGAAACUCGCUGAAGGUACUAUGUCAAUACUAUAUACUGAACCGGCAUUGUUGUAACACGCGCGCAUUUGUGCAGGGCGCAGCCGUGGUGGGCAGACUCGGAAGGAGCAGAUGGGGGAGGAGGGGUACAGCGAGAUGGGGCGCAAGGGCGGGCUGAGCACCAACGACGAGUCCGGCGGCGAGCGCGCCGCCAGGGAGGGCAUCGACAUCGACGAGUCCAAGUUCAAGACCAAGUCCUAG
rnacentral:rRNA from 1 species